AAUGAACGUUGGCGGCGUGGAUUAGGCAUGCAAGUCGAGCGCUCAUAGCAAUAUGGGAGCGGCGAACGGCGUAGUAAGACGUAGGAACGUACCCUCGGGUCGGGGAUAGCUAUGGGAAACUGUAGGUAAUACCCGAUAAUCUCUGCGGAGCAAAGGUGUGAUUCCGCCUGAGGAGCGGCUUACGCGAUAUUAGCUAGUUGGUGGGGUAAUGGCCUACCAAGGCGAUGAUGUCUAGGGGGUGUGAGAGCAUGGCCCCCACGACCGGAACUGAGAUACUGUCCGGACACCUACGGGUGGCUGCAGUCGAGAAUCUUCCGCAAUGGACGAAAGUCUGACGGAGCGACGCCGCGUGCGGGAUGAAGGCCCUUGGGUUGUAAACCGCUGUCAGAGGGGAUGAAAUCUUCGGAGGUGCUCCUCCGAAGUUGACAGAGCCUCAAAGGAAGCACGGGCUAAGUACGUGCCAGCAGCCGCGGU
rnacentral:rRNA from 1 species